AGUGGCGUACGGGUGAGUAACACGUGGAUCAUCUACCUCUUGAUGGGGAAUAACGCUGGGAAACCGGCGCUAAUACCGCAUAAGCCUGAAAAGGGAAAGCAGCAAUGCGUCAAGAGAGGAGUCCGCGGCCGAUUAGCUAGUUGGUAGGGUAAUGGCCUACCAAGGCAAUGAUCGGUAGCCGGCCUGAGAGGGCACACGGCCACACUGGCACUGAAACACGGGCCAAACUCCUACGGGAGGCAGCAGUGGGGAGUCUUGCACAAUGGAGGAAACUCUGAUGCAGCGACGCCGCGUGAGCGAUGAAGCCCUUCGGGGUGUAAAGCUCUUUCGGCAGGAACGAUAAUGACGGUACCUGCGGAAAAAGCUGCGGCUAACUACGUGGCCAGCAGCCGCGGUAAUACGUAGGCAGCAAGCGUUGUUCGAAAUUACGGGGGGGAAAAAAGGGGGUAGGCCGGUUUCCCUAAGUUCCGUGGGAAAUCCCCCGGCUUAACUGGGGAGGGGGGCCCGA
rnacentral:rRNA from 1 species